UUUCAACGUCGGCUGUCGGGCGGUCGUGUGACGGACGCGCGUUCGCGUNUUCCGNGCCCUCCGUCCUUCGAACUGACUGCGAACGCGUGCACUUUUCUCCUGGUAGGACGUCGCGAUCCGUUGGGCGUCGGUCUAAGGCUCGCGGUGGAGCCCGUUCGUCAUCGUACGAACGGACCCGCGUGUCCCGGCCGACUCGCUUGACGGUAUGCUGAAGGUUCGGGGCCGCUCUUGGAGCGUCCGACUCGCGGCAAGCGCGCCAGAUGCUUCGGUGACCGGACCUAGUGCCGAUUCCGACCCCUGGUGACUGUUGGCCGCGAAGUUCUCGGACAGACCUCGCGACCGAUCUGCGGCGCUAUAGCUUUGGGUACUUUCAGGACCCGUCUUGAAACACGGACCAAGGAGUCUAGCAUGUGCGCGAGUCAUUGGGAAUCACUAAACCUAAAGGCGUAAUGAAAGUGAAGGUCUUCCUCGCGGAGGCCGAGGGAGGACGAGCGGUUUACCCUUAAAAGUGGCCGCUCCGCACUCCCGGGGCGUCUCGUUCUCAUCGCGAGAAGAGGCGCACCAAGAGCGUACACGCUGGGACCCGAAAGAUGGUGAACUAUGCCUGGUCAGGACGAAGUCAGGGGAAACCCUGAUGGAGGUCCGUAGCGAUUCUGACGUGCAAAUCGAUCGUCGGAACUGGGUAUAGGGGCGAAAGACUAAUCGAACCAUCUAGUAGCUGGUCCC
rnacentral:rRNA from 1 species